UACAGAGGGUGCAAGCGUUGUUCGGAAUUAUUGGGCGUAAAGGGCGCGUAGGCGGCUUUGCAAGUGACGGGUGAAAUCCCUCGGCUUAACCGAGGAACUGCCUGUCAAACUGCAUGGCUUGAGACCGGGAGAGGUGAGUGGAAUUCCCAGUGUAGCGGUGAAAUGCGUAGAUAUUGGGAGGAACACCAGUGGCGAAGGCGGCUCACUGGACCGGUACUGACGCUGAUGCGCGAAAGCGUGGGGAGCAAACAGG
rnacentral:rRNA from 1 species